rnacentral:rRNA from 1 species
ACGAACGCUGGCGGCGUGCUUCACACCUGCCAGUCGCACGGAAAGACCCUGCUUUUGUGGGGUGCUCGAGUGGCGAACGGGUGAGUAACACGUGAGUAACCUGCCCUUGACUUUGGGAUAACUUCAGGAAACUGGGGCUAAUACCGGAUAGGAGCUCCUGCUGCAUGGUGGGGGUUGGAAAGUUUCGGCGGUUGGGGAUGGACUCGCGGCUUAUCAGCUUGUUGGUGGGGUAGUGGCUUACCAAGGCUUUGACGGGUAGCCGGCCUGAGAGGGUGACCGGCCACAUUGGGACUGAGAUACGGCCCAGACUCCUACGGGAGGCAGCAGUGGGGAAUAUUGCACAAUGGGCGGAAGCCUGAUGCAGCAACGCCGCGUGCGGGAUGACGGCCUUCGGGUUGUAAACCGCUUUCGCCUGUGACGAAGCGUGAGUGACGGUAAUGGGUAAAGAAGCACCGGCUAACUACGUG